rnacentral:rRNA from 1 species
GUACUCACCUUGUGUGCAAUGUUUGCUGUCAAGUCGUUUAUUCGUCUUGAUAGCACAAUACCAACCUUUAUUGUAAAUUUUUUGUCUGAAGCUAUUUCGAAUAUAUAAUUCUAAAUACAACUUUCAACAACGGAUCUCUUGGCUCUCGCAUCGAUGAAGAACGCAGCGAAAUGCGAUACGUAAUGUGAAUUGCAGAAUUCAGUGAAUCAUCGAAUCUUUGAACGCACAUUGCACUCUCUGGUAUUCCGGAGAGUAUGCUUGUUUGAGUAUCUGUAAACAUCUCAAAUCUCUCUUCGCUUGCGUCGAGAGAAUUGGAUUUGAGCGAUCCCGACUCCUUCGUCAGAAAGAGGAGGGUCGCUUGAAAUGCAGGUACCAGCUGGACAUUCUUCUGAGCUAAAAGCAUAUCUAUUUAGUCCCGUCAAACGGAUUAUUACUUUUGCUUCAGCUAAUAUAAAGGUCGAAUGAACUACCAACGCUGAUUGCAGGAAAACUUGUCCGUUUAUUCGGACUUGUAAACUCGAUCUCAAAUCAAGUAAGACUACCCGCUGAACUUAAGCAUAUCAAUAA